CUGCUCAGAUUGAACGCUGGCGGCAGGCUUAACACAUGCAAGUCGAGCGGGGAAGGGUAGCUUGCUACCUAACCUAGCGGCGGACGGGUGAGUAAUGCUUAGGAAUCUGCCUAUUAGUGGGGGACAACAUUCCGAAAGGAAUGCUAAUACCGCAUACGCCCUACGGGGGAAAGCAGGGGAUCUUCGGACCUUGCGCUAAUAGAUGAGCCUAAGUCAGAUUAGCUAGUUGGUGGGGUAAAGGCCUACCAAGGCGACGAUCUGUAGCGGGUCUGAGAGGAUGAUCCGCCACACUGGGACUGAGACACGGCCCAGACUCCUACGGGAGGCAGCAGUGGGGAAUAUUGGACAAUGGGCGAAAGCCUGAUCCAGCCAUGCCGCGUGUGUGAAGAAGGCCUUUUGGUUGUAAAGCACUUUAAGCGAGGAGGAGGCUACUUAGAUUAAUACUCUAGGAUAGUGGACGUUACUCGCAGAAUAAGCACCGGCUAACUCUGUGCCAGCAGCCGCGGUAAUACAGAGGGUGCGAGCGUUAAUCGGAUUUACUGGGCGUAAAGCGUGCGUAGGCGGCUUUUUAAGUCGGAUGUGAAAUCCCUGAGCUUAACUUAGGAAUUGCAUUCGAUACUGGGAAGCUAGAGUAUGGGAGAGGAUGGUAGAAUUCCAGGUGUAGCGGUGAAAUGCGUAGAGAUCUGGAGGAAUACCGAUGGCGAAGGCAGCCAUCUGGCCUAAUACUGACGCUGAGGUACGAAAGCAUGGGGAGCAAACAGGAUUAGAUACCCUGGUAGUCCAUGCCGUAAACGAUGUCUACUAGCCGUUGGGGCCUUUGAGGCUUUAGUGGCGCAGCUAACGCGAUAAGUAGACCGC
rnacentral:rRNA from 1 species